AGCGAACGCUGGCGGCAGGCUUAACACAUGCAAGUCGAGCGGGCACUUUCGGGUGUCCGCGGCGGACGGGUGAGUAACGCGUGGGAACGUGCCCUCUGGUUCGGAAUAACUCAGGGAAACUUGAGCUAAUACCGGAUACGCCCUUUUGGGGAAAGGCUUGCUGCCGGAGGAUCGGCCCGCGUCUGAUUAGCUAGUUGGUGAGGUAACGGCUCACCAAGGCGACGAUCAGUAGCUGGUCUGAGAGGAUGAUCAGCCACACUGGGACUGAGACACGGCCCAGAAUCCUACGGGAGGGAGGAGUGGGGAAUAUUUGAACAUGGGCGCAAGGCUGAUCCAGCCCUGGCGGGUGAGUGAUGAAGGCCUUUGGGUUGUAAAGCUCUUUUUUCCGGGACGAUAAUGACGGUACCGGAGGAAUAAGCCCCGGCUAACUUCGUG
rnacentral:rRNA from 1 species